GAUGAACGCUGACAGAAUGCUUAAUACAUGCAAGUACACUGUGGCGGACGGGUGAGUAACGCGUAAAGAACUAGCCUGACAGUUAGGGACAACAUUUGGAAACUAAUGCUAAUACAAGAUACUGUGAUAGAGCUUUGCGUCCCAUUAGCUAGUUGGAGAGGUAACGGCUCACCAAGGCGAUGAUGGGUAGCCGGCCUGAGAGGGUGAUCGGCCACCAGGGGACUGAGACACGGCCCUUACGCCUACGGGAGGCAGCAGUGGGGAAUAUUGGACAAUGGACCAAAGGCUGAUCCAGCAAUUCUGUGUGCACGAUGAAGUUUUCGGAAUGUAAAGUGCUUUCAGUUGGGAAGCGGUACCUAAAGAAGAAGGGACGGCUAAAUACGUGCCAGCAGCCGCGGUAAUAC
rnacentral:rRNA from 1 species